rnacentral:rRNA from 1 species
GUGGGGAAUUUUGGACAAUGGGCGAAAGCCUGAUCCAGCAAUGCCGCGUGCAGGAUGAAGGCCCUCGGGUUGUAAACUGCUUUUGUACGGAACGAAAAGCCUGGGGCUAAUAUCCCCGGGUCAUGACGGUACCGUAAGAAUAAGCACCGGCUAACUACGUGCCAGCAGCCGCGGUAAUACGUAGGGUGCAAGCGUUAAUCGGAAUUACUGGGCGUAAAGCGUGCGCAGGCGGUUUUGUAAGACAGUGGUGAAAUCCCCGGGCUCAACCUGGGAACUGCCAUGGUGACUGCAAGGCUAGAGUGCGGCAGAGGGGGAUGGAAUUCCGCGUGUAGCAGUGCAAUGCGUAGAUAUGCGGAGGAACACCGAUGGCGAAGGCAAUCCCCUGGGCCUGCACUGACGCUCAUGCACGAAAGCGUGGGGAGCAAACAGGAUUAGAAACCCUGGUAGUCC